AACGUACGCUGGCGGCACGCCUAACACAUGCAAGUCGAACGAAGUAGCAAUACUUAGUGGCAGACGGGUGAGUAACAUGUGGGUAUCUGCCCUUUGGCCUGGAAUAACACGAGGAAACUUGUGCUAAUACCGGAUAAGUCUUUACGGAGAAAGCUUUAUGCACCAUUGGAUGAGCCCGCACUUGAUUAGUUUGUUGGUGGGGUAAUGGCCUACCAAGACUGUGAUCAAUAGCUGAUUUGAGAGGAUGAUCAGCCACAUUGGGACUGAGACACGGCCCAAACUCCUACGGGAGGCAGCAGUGGGGAAUCUUGCACAAUGGAGGAAACUCUGAUGCAGCGAUGCCGCGUGAGUGAAGAAGGCCCUUGGGUUGUAAAGCUCUUUCGUCGGGGAAGAAAAUGACUGUACCCGAAUAAGAAGGUCCGGCUAACUUCGUGCCAGCAGCCGCGGUAAUACGAAGGGACCUAGCGUAGUUCGGAAUUACUGGGCUUAAAGAGUUCGUAGGUGGUUGAAAAAGUUAGUGGUGAAAUCCCAGAGCUUAACUCUGGAACUGCCAUUAAAACUUUUCAGCUAGAGUAUGAUAGAGGAAAGCAGAAUUUCGAGUGUAGAGGUGAAAUUCGUAGAUAUUAGAAAGAAUACCAAUUGCGAAGGCAGCUUUCUGGAUCAUUACUGACACUGAGGAACGAAAGCAUGGGUAGCGAAGAGGAUUAGAUACCCUCGUAGUCCAUGCCGUAAACGAUGUGUGUUAGACGUUGGAAAUUUAUUUUCAGUGUCGCAGCGAAAGCGAUAAACACACCGCCUGGGGAGUACGACCGCAAGGUUAAAACUCAAAUGAAUUGACGGGGACCCGCACAAGUAGUGGAGCAUGUGGUUUAAUUCGAAGAUACGCGCAGAACCUUACCAACACUUGACAUGUUCGUCGCGACUCUAAGAGAUUAGAGUUUUCGGUUCGGCCGGACGAAACACAGGUGCUGCAUGGCUGUCGUCAGCUCGUGUCGUGAGAUGUUGGGUUAAGUCCCGCAACGAGCGCAACCCUCACUUUUAGUUGCCAUCAUUAAGUUGGGCACUCUGAAAGAACUGCCAGUGAUAAGCUGGAGGAAGGUGGGGAUGACGUCAAGUCCUCAUGGCCCUUACGUGUUGGGCUACACACGUGCUACAAUGGUAUCUACAACAGGAAGCAAGACUGCGAGGUCAAGCAAAUCCUUAAAAGAUACCUCAGUUCGGAUUGCACUCUGCAACUCGAGUGCAUGAAGCUGGAAUUACUAGUAAUCGUGGAUCAGCGUGCCACGGUGAAUGCGUUCCCGGGUCU
rnacentral:rRNA from 1 species